rnacentral:tRNA from 1 species
CGGGGUGUAGCGCAGCCCGGUAGCGCACCUGCUUUGGGAGCAGGAGGUCGGCGGUUCGAAUCCGCCCGCCCCGACCA